GAGCGGUAGCACAGAGGAGCUUGCUCCUUGGGUGACGAGCGGCGGACGGGUGAGUAAUGCUUAGGAACUUGCCUCUUGGAGGGGGACAACAGUUGGAAACGACUGCUAAUACCGCAUGAUGUCGCAAGACCAAAGGGGGCUUCGGCUCCUGCCAAGAGAGAGGCCUAAGUGAGAUUAGCUAGUUGGUGGGGUAAAGGCUCACCAAGGCGACGAUCUCUAGCUGUUCUGAGAGGAAGAUCAGCCACACUGGGACUGAGACACGGCCCAGACUCCUACGGGAGGCAGCAGUGGGGAAUAUUGGACAAUGGGCGCAAGCCUGAUCCAGCCAUGCCGCGUGUGUGAAGAAGGCCUUCGGGUUGUAAAGCACUUUCAGUGGGGAGGAAAGGUUGGUGGUUAAUACCCAUCAGCUGUGACGUUACCCACAGAAGAAGCACCGGCUAACUCCGUGCCAGCAGCCGCGGUAAUACGGAGGGUGCGAGCGUUAAUCGGAAUUACUGGGCGUAAAGCGCACGCAGGCGGAUUGUUAAGCUAGAUGUGAAAGCCCCGGGCUCAACCUGGGAAUUGCAUUUAGAACUGGCAGUCUAGAGUCUUGGAGAGGGGGGUGGAAUUCCAGGUGUAGCGGUGAAAUGCGUAGAGAUCUGGAGGAA
rnacentral:rRNA from 1 species